CGCCCUCCCCCCAUUAGCCCGAGGACGGGACCCCCCGCCACCCCGCAGCGGGCAGGGACCGGGCUGGGCUCAAAGCCAUGUCCCGAGGCGAGCGGGGUGUGCCAGGCUGGAGCGGAGCCUGCCCCGUCCCACCCGCGGCAGGGCAGCCCCCCCCCCCCUCCGGUGCUGCCUCGGGGGUUGAGGGGAGCAGGUGGGAGGGGGUCCGUGUGUUCCUGAGCUUUGCGUCCCAGUCUGUGGAUGGGCUUGGUCAACCGGCUCCAGGAGCCUGGGCCACCUGGGCUUGCAGGGGUUAAAUCAAAGCACCACAGAUUGAGGAACAAGAUGCAGGAAUAAGGGAUCCCACUAAGUUCCUCGUGAUCCCGAGCCAUGGGAAAAUGGGAAGAGGCAGCAUGAGUCAGUGUCCAGAGAGCAGCAGCGUCUUGAAGGAGAGUCAUUCGGGAAGCGAGACCCUUGGUAGGCAGAACCAAAGCAGCCAAGGAGUGUGGACAGGCUGGCUGGUGAUGGAGAACAUCUCUUCUUCCUCUUCCCCCUUCCAUGCCAGUUCCCCCACCGUGCUGCCUGAGAACACCACUGCUGAUGAAGACUCCUCUGGCCUUCAGAAGAGCAUGCACAGCCUUUCCAUGGUGGUGUACAGCACCGCCUGUGUGCUGGGGGUGACAGGGAACGGCCUCGUCAUCUGGAUCGCAGGCUUCAAGAUGAAGAAGACAGUGAACUCCAUCUGGUUCCUCAACCUGGCCAUUGCCGACUUCAUCUUCACCUUUUUCCUGCCCCUCAGCAUCGCCUACACCGCCCUGGGCUUCCACUGGCCCUUUGGGAAGCUCCUCUGCAAGCUGAACAGCACCAUCGCCUUCCUCAACAUGUUUGCCAGUGUCUUCCUCCUGAUGGUCAUCAGCGUGGACCGCUGCGUUUCCGUGGCCUUUCCUGUCUGGUCUCACAACCACCGGAGCCCAGAGCUGGCAGCCAGGAUCGCACUGGGGACAUGGGUCCUGGCUCUCCUCCUCAGCUCCCCGUACCUGGUCUUUCGGGACACUGUGGUCAGCUCCAGGAACAUCACCAGCUGCUAUAAUAACUUUGCACUCUCCGAUGACUACACGUCCGAGGCAACGCAGAGGCUGUGGAGGAUGCGACACAAAGCGAUGAUCAUAACGCGAUUCCUGUGUGGGUUCCUCAUCCCCUUCAUGGUGAUCGUCAUCUGCUACAGCAUCGUUGCUGUCAAGCUGAAAAGAAGGCAGCUGGCCAGCUCUGCCAAGCCAUACAGAAUCAUUAUUGCUGUCACAGUCUCGUUUUUCCUCUGUUAUUUCCCCUAUCACGUCUUCUCCCUGCUGGAAAUAUCCAGAAACUCUUCCAGUCACGAGGUGAGAAUGGCCCUUUACAUAGGGAUCCCCGUGGUUUCCAGCCUUGCUUUCUUCAACAGCUGCAUCAACCCCAUCCUGUACGUGUUUGUCGGGCCGGACUUCAAGGAGAAGUUUCGCCAGUCCAUCCUGUCCACCUUUGAGGGGGCCUUCAGUGAGGAGUCAGUCCUGGGCAGCCUGACCAGCAGGAGAAAGUCCAGGCUGGUGCAUGUGCUGCUAAAGCUUAAGGAUAAAAUCAUAAAAAAAAAAAAAAUCAGCUGGAACGUGCAGUGGGAUCCACCUGGAGGUUCUCUCACAAAAGUGUCUUUUAAAGAAAGUGGUUUAAAUGGGAUGGCUGUAUGUAUUUUUGUAGGGUCUGGAAUAGCUGGUAAGACACUCUCCUCUCCCCAGAUGUGUGGCAGGAUGAAUUACUGGUUGUGCCCCAGUUACUCAGGGCUGAUGUACAGAGUAACUAUAUCUGAGCAAUGCUUGUCUCUGUGUGUGUGACGUUUCUGGCCCUUAGCAGAGAUCUGACAUUUUGUACUGUUGAUGAAUGAAAUUAAACCCCACUAAACUUCUGCAGAAUGUGCCCAACCUGUUGUGUUGCCUGUGUGACAAAACCCUAGUUGAUCCAGCCUGACUGAGCAUGCUCAUCUUUGGUAACAGAGUGAUUAAAUAACAAAGAUUAAAUACCCAGAUUUUGGAAACCACUGGCAUGAGCAGCAACUCUCAUGGCUGGAGUAGACAGGAAUCAGCCUUGGGGUGAGGAGUUGCCUGGGACACUCUGUCCAUCUGUAUCUGAUUCCCAUCCUGCAGAUCAGUUUCAGAUCCUUUUGGUACAUUUGAAAAACAGUGGUUUGGGGAAGAAGGAAGAGCAAGUGUGGCUGGACUGAGUCUGGUCAAGUUUCACACCUGCAAACUGCACAGGAUGAAGAUGGGGAGGGUUGAUCCCAGGCUUGAUCCGCCCCUGAACCUCUCUGAUUUUCCUUAGUAGAAAAUGUUGGUCAUGUAACAGGGAACAGCAGAGUUGAGGCACUGUCAUUCCCAGCAGCUGAAGGAGCAGGUGACUGUCUCUCACCUCCCUCCCCUGGCCUGCCCAACCUGCCUGUCAAAUGGUCUGAUCAGCCAUUUGUCCUGUUCCUCCUGCCAGAAAGCUGCCUGGGAGCCUCACUGCUCUGAUGGCUGGAAAAUCUCUGACUCCCAGCCUGAAUGCACGAAUUCACACGUCCCUCACUAUUUGGCAUGGAUGACACGACCAAGAAAGAGCUGUCACUUGAACAUGCUGGGGAUUCAUUAUGGGUCUGCUGGGCCAUGCAAUAUUCAAUGAAGGCUGUGAUCCUACAGGCAUGCAUGUACUUAACCUUAACUUCCUGCAUAAACCCGCCGAGAACAGGGAAUGUAACAAGACCAUCCAAAUGUCAAACAUGAGUGAACAGAGAGAUUUACCCUUUGCCACAAAUUGCUGCCUGCCAUCCAGAUAAAGCUGCAAUGUUUGCUGUGCAGCAUGCAACUCCAGGGCUGUUUACUUGCUCCUGGUGAUAAACUACACCAUCGAUUGCAGUGUCAAGGUUGAGCAGAACAGCGUUUGCUCUUUCUGGUUUUCCUUAUCUGUUUGCAGAGCCCACGUAAUUCCUUGUGACAAGAGUCUCUAAGAACAUUGGACCAAGGCCUUGGACUCCUGUCGUGCCUCUCUCCUCACACUGGCACCCUUGGAAGUCAGGACUUGAGGCAUUGACUGAUUUGUGGCAGGAAAGAAAGCAAUUUUCUGGGUCAUUUGGACAGUCAAGAGGAGCUGCAGCUCAGUGCCGUAGAUGUCAAGCCAAGCUGGGACCCCGUGAGUGAAACAGAGGGGAACGGGGUGUUUGGCACUAACUGCAGCUGCUCAAAUGCCUGUAAAUGACGUGACUUCACUGCCCAGUUCAACAGCUUUUGUCUAAAGGCAACUCAAAGGGCAAACCACAUCUGCAAACGGAAGGUGAUGGAUGUUAACUGGCUGUCCUGCAGGGUCUGCAGGACAGAACUGCCCUCAGAUCCAGCAAAGCCACCAGCACCUGCCAACAGAGCAAAAGGUGCUGCUGCUGGUUCUUGUUCAGGGCAGUGUUUGCUCAGACCUUUGCCCUCUCAUCCAGCUUGAGAUGUUUGUCUGUGCAGUGACCUUUGAAACGCUGGCUAUUUCAAUGUCUCUUUGUUUGAGGGCUGGUUGGAGAUAACCCCUGUGCCUGUGCUGAGGCUGAUGUGGCAGAUCUGUUAGUUCCUGCAGACUGACCCGGAACUGAGAGCAUGGUUAGAAAGAAGAAAACAAACUGAACUCAGGGAGUCUUUAGUCAGAGCUUCAUCACUCAGGAGGAAAAGUAGCAUAACCACAUGAGUCAUUCCCUGCAGACAGCCAAGCCACGGCUACACAGGAUUAUUGGAUAAACAGUAAGAAAGUCCUGUCUGCUUGCACAGCCCUUGAUUCAGAAAUGCAUGUAUAGCUACUUUGAGUUCUGUCUCCCUAGCUGGAUACCAUCCAAGGCAGCAUCUUCUGGAAAUCAAUCUCUUCCAGGGCAGUAAAGCUGAAGGUGGGGGAGGAGGGAGGUGGUGGCCCUGAGGCUGUGCUGUGUAGAGGUGCCUGAGGGCUGCAGGACCUCCAAUUGUAGGACCAUCGAAUCAUUAAGGUUGGAAAGGACCUUAAAGAUCAUCAAGUUCCAACCCCCCUGCCAUGAGCAGGGAACCACUAGGCCAUGUUGCACAAAACCUUGUCCAACCUGGCCUUAAAAACCUGCAGGGAUGGGGCAUCAGCAACCUCCCAGGGCAACCCAUUCCAGUCCCUCACCACCUUAUAGUGAAGAAUUUCAACCGUUUGGAGGGUCCAAACCUAUUGGCAGGGCUCCAUUGGGAUCAAAUAAAAAAUGUUUGUUUGGUGUG